rnacentral:rRNA from 1 species
GGGUGAGUAACGCGUGGGAACGUGCCCUUUGCUACGGAACAGUCCUGGGAAACUGGGUUUAAUACCGUAUACGCUCUUCGGAGGAAAGAUUUAUCGGCAAAGGAUCGGCCCGCGUUGGAUUAGGUAGUUGGUGGGGUAAAGGCCUACCAAGCCGACGAUCCAUAGCUGGUUUGAGAGGAUGAUCAGCCACACUGGGACUGAGACACGGCCCAGACUCCUACGGGAGGCAGCAGUGGGGAAUCUUAGACAAUGGGGGCAACCCUGAUCUAGCCAUGCCGCGUGAGCGAUGAAGGCCUUAGGGUUGUAAAGCUCUUUCGCUGGGGAAGAUAAUGACGGUACCCAGUAAAGAAGCCCCGGCUAACUCCGUGCCAGCAGCCGCGGUAAUACGGAGGGGGCUAGCGUUGUUCGGAAUUACUGGGCGUAAAGCGCGCGUAGGCGGAUUGGAAAGUUGGGGGUGAAAUCCCGGGGCUCAACCCCGGA